UACGUAGGGUGCAAGCGUUAAUCGGAAUUACUGGGCGUAAAGCGUGCGCAGGCGGUGAUGUAAGACAGUUGUGAAAUCCCUCGGCUUAACCGGGGAACUGCGUCUGAUACUGGAUGGCUUGAGUUCGGGAGAGGGAUGCGGAAUUCCAGGUGUAGCGGUGAAAUGCGUAGAUAUCUGGAGGAACACCGGUGGCGAAGGCGGCAUCCUGGACCGAGAUUGACGCUGAUGCGCGAAAGCCAGGGGAGCAAACGGG
rnacentral:rRNA from 1 species